rnacentral:misc_RNA from 1 species
CUCUCUCUCUCUCUCUCUCUGCAUUGACACCACUGUAUAUCACUGCAUGUAUACGUGUUAUCUCUCACAAAGUAGAGGAACUUCUGGAGCCAUGCAUCUUCUGAUCAUGUGAUGGAGGAGGAAGUGAAGGAGAUGACACCGCUGCAUGGUAAGAAGAUGAAGCAAGUUGGGCUAGCGCUGGAACAGCACCACCUGCUAAACCCGCACAGGCAGAAGAGAACACUAUUACAGGUGGUGCCUGCAUAUGCACAAAGAACUUUAGCGAGAAAUAAUUUCACAGAGAAAAAUAUAGGACAAAGUACACAGUUCACUGAAAUUUUGCCCAAAUGUGCUAUUAGCAUACAAAGGCCCAUGAAAGUCAGAAAUGAAUAAAUGAAGAUGGAUGAAUAAGCAUACAAGAUUACAAAAAGGACAAUCCCUGAGGUUGCCCAAUGGAUGAAAUGUGUAUGCACACAAAUAACACAGUUUACUGAAACUUGGGAUCCCAACACAGAGAUCUUAAGUUCAAACCACUAUAAAGAAGAAUGGUUGUUUAUGGAACAGAGAGAGCUACCUCAAAUUGGCCAGCCAAACAUCAGAAAUAAUUAAAAUUAAAGAUAAUUACCUAUUUCAUGCAUGAAGCAUAAUCAAAUUGCUUCCGAGCAUUAUAUUACAGGAAACCUCAUAUAUGCAAGCAUCCAUGCCUUUAAUCAGAAGGCUUAUUCCUCAUGGACUAAAUUGAAAUGCCCAAGGCCUCUUAUACUAAUGGACAUAGAGCUUACCUUCUUGGUUGAUUGGGUGAGGUCCUCAGUUUACUGGUUAAUGGAAAUUGGAAUGUUCUCUAUUCUCUCUUUUCUCUUUUUAAAGGUGAAAAAAGGAAAACUUUUUUCACAUUAUUAAACUUCAUAUUGUACCGACAAGCCAACUAUUUUAGUUAAUUAAGUCGGCCUUUAAAUCCUAGACAACGUAGUCCAGACUUUUUUUUUGUUUAAAAAAUAUCUUUAACAUUUUUGUAAAUGUGUUAUACACCAUAAAUAUCACAAUUUUAACAUUUCUUAGUGUUUAUACUGAUUUUAAUUAGGUAUCAUGCACCCCAGACGACCAAGGGCACCAAAGUUAUUGUUCAUGAUGCCCUACUACCAAUGCAAGUUUCAGAACUUAACCUAGAUGAUGGGUCUGGACAAUGGACGUAAUAACAAGGCUUCAGUGAACCAAUGCAAUAGCCAGAAAUGCAAGAGAAUCUCAAGGUCAUACUCAUGAGUUCAUGCAAAUAACAUGAGGACGGAUUGAAACAAGUAUUCAUCCCAAUUUGCAGCCCAAACUGUACAUCAAUCAACAAUUAGUUUCAAGAACACUUAAAGCUGCUCAUGAAAGGACCAUAUAUAUCAACUGCAAGACUGUCACUCUGACAACUUUUUAUCUGCAAGGUUGUGUGCUCAUUCAUCAAGAUUUUGGUGAAAAGCAUAUACUUUUAUUCAACAUGAAAGCAUAUAAGCACCAAACCAACACAAGAAGAACAAGAUGCAGGAGGAGAACAAAAAGCUCAUGAAUAAGGAGCACAAGAAAAAAAAAAGGCUCGUGUAAACUUACGCCAAUGAGGAAAUGCACCCACAUUGGUCCUUUUACCCACUUCCGAACAACUGGCAUCACAUGGUUGAAUCCAUAGAAUGCGCUUGUCGUACCACCAACAGCAGAACCAAUUUAAACCACAAUAAAAAACAGAGAAAAUAAGCCCCAACACCAAGAUCAUCAAAAAAUAAAUAAAUAAACAAAAACUUCAUUACGCAAAUACAUCUCACCAAAAGCUCAAAAAUCAAAACUUCACAAAUAUUCAUAGUUCAAAUAAGGCAUAAUAAAAAUUAGAAUAUUUUAUGAAACGAUUAGUAUGUCAAUAUGAGCAACCCAUCAAAAUAAGUUAGCCAUAUGUCCAAAACCCACAAGCAUAAACUAUUGCAAGUCAAUCAAGGAUUCAAAAUACGAAUUCACAAUCGAAAAUUCACACCUCCUUCCCCAUCUCUCAACACGCGCGCACGCGCACACACAUAAAGCCCACAACUAGCUCUCAACAUUCUUGAUACAAAUUCCCGAUUGAGAAUUUACACGACCAAAAUAAUACGCAAAGACUAAAGAGGAAUACCAUAGAAAAGCUAUCUUUGAUUAGAGGUGGAAUAGUCCAGUCACUAGUUUCCAUCUCCUUGGAGAGAAGGCCUGCACAGUGAUGACAUCGCAAUCUGCUUGGAAUGUUCGAUUUCGAAUGCCAUCCCUGCCUGAGCAGCUUCACAACAAAACUCUCCGCUGCGACACCCUGUGGUGCUCACUGUUUGGGCUUGUAGUUUAGUUAUAUACUAUGGGGGCGCGAAACGACACCGCUAUACAAGCUGUGUUAGUGUAGGGCACCGGUCGCUGGGGCAAUCCGAUGACGAGAGUAUCAAGUCUCGAUAAAUAAGGGUAAGC